rnacentral:siRNA from 1 species
AGUAGUGCCAGGCCAGCUCCUA